CUUUGUCCUCUGCAUCAAGACAGCCCAAGGCCUGUACACCAUUACAAAGGCAACAUUUGUUUUACUCUUGCUGUGUAGAACAACAAAUUCAGCGCCUGACUAAAGAGUACGUGGUGAUGGUGAACUCUUAAGUGUCGCACAUCUUCAUCCGUCCCUUCUCCGAGAUCGCAGCGAGACCCAGCUCUGUCUUCCUCCACUCCCGUUCCUGCUCUGCCAGGCUCAGAUGAGCUGGCAUCUUACAGUACCACAAUCAUGGCACCAAUCAGCACAGAUAUAGUAGGCUGGGCGGUCUCAGAGCAACCAGAGGCUGCAUUUCUUUCCAUAGUCGUCCUCUUCAUCGUUAGCAUCGCACUCCUCGUUCUCUGUGCAAUCUGUAAAAAACAUUCAUUUGAGUUAGACAGCCACAGCACACCCGAGCAACAGAAGGCAUCCACACUUGUGAGCGUGGCAAAAAUGGAUGAUUCAAGAGGUGCCAGACAAAACCCUGCUGCUAUUGACAUCACAGAAGAUGAAAUCGGUUUAGAGGCUGUGGAGGGUGACGUUGCGUACAGACCGUGGAGAAGUCACACUCUCACUCACGGUUCAAGCCUACAACCUCAAAUAAAUGGCGGGUUUGGGACAGCGACAGAGGGUUCGGUAACACUUCAAGCUCUCUGAGAAAGUGUGACAAAAGUGGAGUCGCUGUUGUAGGCGAAACACCACCGACUUUGAAUGCCUGCAGAGAGCUCCACCAUCUUUAUUAUGCAACCUCAAAUGCUCAAACUAAACAAACCCCUACACUAUUUGGAGUUAAAUGGUUUCUGUAUCCUUCUGAAGCCAGGCUGAGGUCCUGCUUUGUGGCAUUGACUCCCAUAAGUGCCCAUCAAACUUUGAGACUAUAGGAACUACAGGAGCACCCGAUCGGUCCCUCAGCAUUGACUGGACUGAUUCAAAGCUGAAUACUUAUGCAAUGGUUCAGACAGUCUCUGGCAAGAAUGGUCAGUGUCCCUUAGGGGAGGGAGCCUGAUCUUCUGGCCACACCUGUUUUGACAAAUAGGGAUCUCUAUUCAGGUGGCCACAGAUUAAACACAACAUAAACAAGAAAAUCAGGUGUCAUCUCCAUCUGAAGAGGAGGGGGAAGUGUCGGCAUCAUUACCAAAGAGACCUAAACAAAAAUGAAGGUUUUCCUUUUAAUCUUUUUCUAAUGAAGUCCAGUAUUGUGAAAUUAUUCUGUAUUCAUAUUCAUUCUUAGUAGGGGCGCAAUAUAGACUUUAUCUCUCAGAUCAACUGGUCUGUAUAUGUUUAAGUUUAUGGAUUUAAAUAGCAGCAUACUAGUGAUUACUUUUAGGUUUUGAAUAAAUGUAUGAAUUCCAGUGGGCAUGAAUGAUGUAAUUAAAGUAACAGAUGCUUUAGAAUGAACCCUCUUGUUCUGGUGAGAUUGACUUUAUUCUUUUAUUAAGGGAAAUAUUUGCUCCAUAGUAUUUGGGCUUUUAUUUUUCUUACUUUUUGAACUUUUGUGAAGGCAUUUAGAGGCUGAAAUUCUUACAUAAUCUUUGAAAUAAUUAGAUCUGAAAUAUUUUUCUUUAAAAAUAAGAAGCAGGGAGACAAUUGUAUUAUGAUUUUUGAUACUUCUCUGCUAAAUUAAAGUCACAUGCAAGAAACCAUUUUAAUGACUCGGAUGCAUGAUUUUUGUCAAAUAUUUGUGACCUUGGAAAAUUUAAGAAAAAAAAAUAAUGAGUCAAACAUUUUGUAGACAUUUAAAAAAAAAAAUACAUGUAUGAAACCAACAUGCAUUUGGAUGAACUUUGUAUAAGGACAUGGUUUCUUUUUGUAAUUUUGACAUCCUUUUUUGUCAUUGACCCUUAUAUUAAACAGAAACUAUAUUGAACUCAUAACUAGAUCUAAAGUAAAAAAAAUAUGUAAUAUAUCAAAUAUUAGAUAACAUAAAAGGACGCAUUCACUACAGGGGUAUUUACCACAGAAUCUUACAUUGUGACAACAUGUUACAUUUAUUAAUGUCUUAUGCCUGGGGUUUCUGUCUCACCAAACAUUAUUGAGGGUGUUUUGAUUCAUGUUCAAGUGGGCAUUUUGUUUUUAACCAGUUCUUUAAAGAUUAGUCAAAUCUCAUGAAUCAACCUGAUACGUAAGUGCUAAGCAUGAUUUGGAUUUAUUGAUGUUACAAGAUCUUAAAUUUGCAUGCCUCAUGUAAUAAAUUCUUAAUGUGGGUAA